GUUAAAAUUCCUGAGAAGCAGACCACAAAUGAGUACAAUAUGAACAUGAUUUUCCACGCCAGCUCCAUUCAAAUAAGUGAUGUAAAGAUCUUUUUUUUCAGGAUUCUUUUGAACACUUGAGCAGAAAGUGUGACCAGUUCCACCUGAGCAGUACCUGGGUCAUCCUCCACAUUAGAUGUGCACAUAUAUGUUUAAAAUAAAAAACACACAAAACUACUCAGCACCAGAAGAAAGUAUAUGGCUGCACUAGAGGAAUUUUGGACAUUUACCAAUGUUGCUUUUCAGGAAUCACCUGGUAUUGAGCAAGGAGACAGACACCAAGUAGCUCAGCUCCAUCUGAUGUGAUAGCUGUACCCUAUCUAGUCAUCAGUUGAAACCUGCCAGUGGCCAGGCCUGGAGCUGAGCUUAUGAAGCUCAUUAUCAUAAAGGUACACUAUAUUAUAUAUAGAAUUCAAAUGUUUAUUUUAUAAGAUAUUCUUUAUGUUCCAGGAGUUA
rnacentral:lncRNA from 1 species